rnacentral:lncRNA from 1 species
CCAGGAAGUUGUGGGGGCAGCAGCAGACGUGCGAGGUGAUUAAUAACAACAUAGAUAACUUCUGCUGAGGAAUUUCACAAGCUGAGCUUUAACAGGCAUUAACUCACUUAAUCCUCGCACCAAGUCUCAGAGAUUACAAAUUCAAAUGCCUAACUGGUCCAGGAAAACAACUGGAAAUGAGGGGAGAGAGCUGAGUGGAGAAUGUCAUGCACUGGUGGGCUUGUAUCUAUCCAAGAACAGAAGCCUUCCUGAGCUCUAGCUGACUGAUGCCAGAAAGAAGCUUCACUGAUGCAUUACAUUCGUUGCUAUGCAAUGUCAAGGAAUACUAUCAUUAUGAUUAGUACCAUCUGCAACAAAUGAGAGGAAGCAACACACAACAGAGCUGAAGAUUCAGAGCCUCUCUCCCAGCUGACUUGGGUGUGUACUAGUACACUGCCUCUAGAUUUUUACAACCGCAUGCAUACAAUCCACAGGGCAAACCACUUCAAUAGAACAUGGCUGGCAGCCAUAUGGUCACAUAUGAAUCCAACAGUUAAUUUAGCAAAGAAAACUGCUUGUAACAAGUUUUGAAUAUGUUAUCCCAGGUAGUACUUUGUUGACAAAUGAGAUGAUUGCCCAGAAAAUGAUAGUAACAUUUGUAAAAAGGGUUUGGAACCAAUUGAGAGAUGCAGCCAAGAAUCAAGCACUUGAAGAUCAAAGUGAUGGCUUUGUAACUGACAAAGCCUGGGUUGGAGAACACAGCUUAGAUAAAGCACAGAAGAUUCAAGCUGCCUCCGGUCUUAAGAAGUUAACAUGGAAUUUGGCUGUUUCAAAAAUUAAAAUCUGCUUACAAAAAUUAGUCUCCACUGGUGGAAAUAUCUUUCUUUUCAGUAUGAGAAGUUGUUUGAAGCUUUUGUC